GUGCUCGCUUCGGCAGCACAUAGACUAAAAUUGGAAUGAUCCAGAGAAAAUUAGCAUAGCCCUGCGCAAGAAUGACACACAAAUUCAUGAAGCGUUCCCCAUUUAA
ensembl:snRNA U6 U6 spliceosomal RNA